rnacentral:lncRNA from 1 species
CAUCAAGGCAUGCCUCAUCCAUCUUAUCCAGUCUUUACAGUGUAGCCAUAUCACCAUUUGCUUAGCCUCCUAUUUCCCAAAAAGUCAUUGCAAAACAAAAAAAAUUUGUCGCAGUUUCACCCGAAAGGCGAAGCACCAAUUGCGAUAGCAAAUUAGUAGAGAUCUAU